rnacentral:lncRNA from 1 species
CAAAACGUGGACAUCGCUGCAGCGACGUCACGGUGAUGACUGCCCCUGUGUUCCAGAGCUCUGAUCCCAUUCAUGACACGGACGAGACAAUUCUAUUUGAUUGUAUCAGCAUUUUCCAACAGUUGAAGAGAAUAAAACUUUUAGUCAAAAUGAACACGGAUCUGACGUUUGGAUUUAGAAGAGAAGAGCACACUUUACUUUCAUAGUCUCCCGGCCCCUGCCUGAAUUCUCCGUCAGGCCACGUGAUGAGGAUUAUGAUCAGUGCAGAGGGCACAACAUCGGACCAGACCACAGAGGGACCAUCAAUUUGCAACAGCCCUGCACGGAUGGUGUCCAGGGGCAAGGCACUACCUGAACUCGUAUGCAGACUUAAUAAUUAAAAUAAUUUUUACCUUAAAAAAAUGAGACGGA